AGGGGCGAUAGAGGGGGUGUUAGCCCCUCCUUACUGCUGUCAUUGAAGAAGAAAAAAAAUAGGAAGAUAAAAAAGAGCAGGAGGAAGAAAGGAAACCACAACCAUAUAGGCAGUGCUAUGGGCAGUGGUCCUCGGCUGAACUGUAUCUGCUGCCUGUUUAACAGUGGGGAGACGACAUUAUUAGGCGGCAUGCUCCUCCCUCUCCACAGCCAGGCAGCCUUAUCUGUCAGCCAUUAGUUAAUCAGGGCUGGUAACGUAGAAGUAGAGCAGAAAACCGGCACAGCGCGUGGGGCCAAAGGACAACCUCUGAGAGCUGAGCUGAGCAGAGCAGGAGGAGGGCAAGGACCCGGGGACCGACCAACCCCUCCACUCUAAACUCUACUACCAGGCUAGGCUGCUGGCUCACUUUACUCAACACUGGAUCAGAGCAUGUCUUUUUCUAGGCAUGGCAGGCUGCAAUUGUAUGAUGACAUCCGCCCAUUCCAUCGCAGAGGACAGGUCCUGUUUUGCAAGGAAGUUUCAAAGACAGAAGUCAAAACAACACAUGCUGUCGACGUGGGAAAAGCUGGUAAGAGCAGAGCAUCGUGGGGCGGAGGAAUGUCAGAGUCAUAGAUCUUUCAACCUCAAGGCCAAAAUAGCCACACACAGGCCUGAUCAUCUCCAUGCAUGGGAAGAAACAAUAAGCAACACCUCAUACUAGCACUAAUACAGUCCAGUCCAACCCUGGCCAACGUGGUCCAAAUCUGGCAUCCAGACAUCAGUGGCCAAAGAGAUAUCGUUAGACAAUUACUACAUGAGUAAGUAGGCUGUAUUAACUGAAAUUAAUUGGUAUUAACUUGCAAAUAGGAUUUCCUCACAAAAGAGUUGGUACAAACCAAUGUCAUAAGUAUAUUUAGGUACCGAAGGUAUGAAAAUAGGGACAUUUCUUAUUGGCGUCACCAUGGAGUUUAUUGUAAGGGCAAUGAUGAUUGAAAGGGAUAUUGCAAUGUCUAAAUAAUUAUUGGUCUGUGUUAACAAAGUUGACAAAAUGUUCACUACAAGUGUUACGUUCGUCGAUGGAAGGAUUUGACCAAGGUGCAGCGUGGUAGGCGAACAUUUUAAUUUAUUAAAUGAACACCGAAACAAAACCAAAAUAAAUUGAAAAAAAUUGAAAAAACGUAAAGUUCAGUCGGGCAUACAGUACAGUACCAAAAACAAGAUCCCACAAUCUAAGGUGGGAAAAGGGGCUGCCUAAGUAUGAUCCCCAAUCAGAGACAACGACAAACAGCUGCCUCUGAUUGGGAACCAUACUAGGCCAACAAAGAAAUAGAAACAUAGAUUUCCCACCCUGACCUAACCAGAUAUAGAAUAAAAGGGAUCUCUAAGGUCAGGGCGUGACAACAAGAGCUUAAUAAGGCUGCUUCUGAUGGAAAAUGAAAGCAGUCAACUAAACUCAACUGUGUAGUUGGUGCCAAACUGUGCCUCUGCCAUGGCUAGAAACUCAAAUAAACAAUCCUAAAAGGGCAUAUUAAGUUUCCCCAACACGAUUCUCUUUUUAAGUCAACACCACUCAGAGAAGAUGAACUGAGCAACCAUAAGUCAACUUUCAGGAAUGACAAAAACAACCAGUUUUUCUACCUGUCCAAACAUUCAGCUAGAACCAAGAUCCAUUUCCAUGUCCCACUCCAGAAACACUCCAUUGGUGCUCCAUUGAGUACAAUGCUGUUGUCUCAUAAAGCUAUGCCAGACCAGGAGAGUGAACCUGAUUUCGGACAGCAGAAUAAUGCUUGAGAUUCUAAAGUGACCUUUUGGCCCAGGAUUUCCAAGAGCUUCCAAGAGUCCCUAUUCCUGGCAAAGUCCAUCCAUCCAAAUUCCUUCUUCUUCUUACUCAACACCACUUCACUGUUAAGCUGUCAAGACCCAAACUCUAGUGUCAUUUAUCCUAGUGACAAGUUCACAACCAAAGCCAAAGACAUGUUGUUCUUGUAAAAUAAAGAAAUAAAACCAAAUGUUAUUUGUCACAUGCUUCGUAAACAACAGGUGUAGACUAAGUGAAAUGCUUACCUGCGGGCCCUUCCCAUCAACGCCGAGAAAAAAGAUAGAAAAAAAUGACAACACAAGGAAUAAAUACACAACGAGUAACAAUAACUUGGCUAUAUACAUGGGGUACAGCUAACGUUUGUCUGUCGGCAUUGUUCAUCCUGGGUUCCCAUAACAGAAUUGCAUCGUAAGACACCAACGACCUUGACCUUGGCCUUGUGUUCCAACCAAAAAGCUACAGUACAGAUAUCGGACAAAGGGCAACAUUUUCCUCUCUCAAAGAGACACAAGACAAUGUUGCCCAAAAUAUUGUAUGAUGGGACGAUCACAUUGUUGUUAGGUUGUUUGUAAUUUAGAGGUGGUUGAUCGUCAACACCUGCCCGUGUGUGUCUCAUUAACACAUUCCUCCAAGUUGAACGCUCUGUUUACACCGCUGUCUUUUUAUGGGGCCGUUAUGGGGGUGAUAUUGUUGUGUGUUGCUGGUGUGUUUCACAAGCCUGAUAUGCUAUCUACCUUUGAUUUCACCCCCACUAUAGCACUCUUUGAAGAUGUGCAACAAUGUACAAUCUGCAGCUGGGCUCAGUGGACUCCAAAAGUGGUGUUAAACCUUGAGAAUAACUGUGUCAACAGUAGAAGGAAAACAAGUUAUUAGGUAAUAGCAUUGACUACAAAGUCAAAGGCAACUAUAAUUCCUUGGCUUCCAGCACAUCAGAUAUAAUAUUUGUCCACCAAUGACUGCCUCACAGAGCCACACUGUAUAUUUUCAGAUCCUAGACGGGUGUCAAACACACAGCCCGUGGGCCGUUUUCGGGGUGAUUUGAGUAUAUACUAUAUUUUUUAAUAGGACUAUAUCAUUAUUCUAUCAUUAUCCUGAGUGGCGCAGCGGUUUAAGGCCCUGCAUCGCAGUGCUAGAGGUGUCACUACAGACCCAGGUUCGAUCCCGGCCGUGAUCCAUAGUCCCUUAGGGCGUUGCACAAUUGGCCCAGUGUCGUCCGGGUUAGGGGAGUGUUUGGCCGGGGUAGGCCGUCAUUGUAAAUAAGAAUUUGUUCUUAACUGACUUGCCUAGUUAAAUAAGGGUUAAAUAUAUAUAUAUAGCUUUUAAAAUUUGAUACUUUAAAAUGACUAAAAGCAAAUACAAACUGUGUACAAAUGAUACAGUUUCUUGACUGUGUCCAGCUCGCUAUUAAAUCACCCAAAUGAAAACAAGACAGUCAGGGAGCAUAGAAAAUUAAAAAAAACAAUGGAUAGAUAACAAUGAAUUUUUUUUUGAUGGCAAGGAAAUAUAACCAAUAUUCAGUGCGGCCCUCCAGACCUCAUUGACAAAAUGAGUUUGUGCUUGCAAUUUACUCUGGCGGAUCUGACGCUGGAGGAUGAUAUAAGAGGACUGAACAUUGCGUGAUGUAAAUGGCGGUGUCGUUUAAUCACAAAAGGAUGGGAGGGAGACGUUGGGGCUGAAUAUGUAACAUCGAUGAGUACUGUAGGCUCAGACAUUGACUUGCUGGAAUGUCUUCACCAUCUGUGAACCAGCGGCCCUAAAGCUCUGAGAGACAGAUGCGCAAGUAGAAACAGACCUGCCAGCCAGGUAGCUAAUGUGGAACAUGCAGUACAGGACCCACAUCACUAAAGGUAGAGCCUGGAAGUCUUCAUAUAAAGAGUAAUACACUGACGUCUAUUGCACUGCUAACUGACGCCACACCAGAAAGCAGCGGUGUAGGGUGUCUUGGUAAGAUGUGAGGUAAAAAGUGAUAAGCUCUACUUUCUAGGGAGAUAUGCUACUUUGAGUGGGUUACCACGUUCUUCUAGGGCAUCCUCAAAAUCUUUCCCACUGAACCAAGUUUGGGGGGGGAUUUUGUUUUGGACAAAUAUGAAGAGUUUGUACAGUCCAACUACCAAGGUACAUCAACAUGAUAGCCACCAACAGGCCCCAACAUAAAUAAUCUCCAGUAGAGACGAGGUGAUAGCAACAUGCAUUGAAGUCCCAUUUCAGAGAGGAUUCACCCCAUAAUCUUUAGAGACCUUUCUCUCAGAUGCGUUGUAAUGCCAGUUGAGAACCUGUUCCCGAUCAUUGGACGUGCCAGGGAAAGCCUAGUUUAAACGCUUCCAGAUCUAUACUUAUUUUAUCCCCCUGCAUCCAUCCCCAGCUGUCGCGCCAGCGAAACAAAAAUCUGCCUAAACUAGUCUCUUCCCCUCUCUCAAUCUUUUCCCCACUCUCUCCCCUGUAUCCAGUUUCUUUGUGGUCGCGAGUCAACUCCUGCCACUUUAUGUCAUCACCCUCCGUCACUGAGACUGCAUUAGUGGCUAUGUCUAAACGAGGCUUUAAUGUACAGGACUAGGCCACAUAGAACCAAAUAUAUAUCAAACUUUGAAGUUUGACAUCAACCGUGCUUGAUCGCAGAUGUCUAUACAGGCAGGAGGGUUCACUGGUUUAGAUGAAAGACUCUCCAUCGCUGACACAUAAUAUUUAUGUUCCAUAUGUACUAUAUAAAUAUCUUGUCUAGUUCUCUCUCAGUCAAACGUUAAGAAAUGUGUGUGUUUUGUUGGGCGAUCUGGGAUAAAAACAAAUCAAUCUUUGUAUACAAGCCAUGUCUUUUCUUUGUCAUUUGUUUCUAUUGAGGCAUGGCAGCAUUAUUUGAUUGCUCUCUAAAUUGCACAUCAAUGAUGACGGAGAGCAUGCUAAUAUUACAGUUGUUUUUUAAUCAAAUCCUGGGACAAAAACAAAUUACUUUGAUUUAAAACAGACAGGAAAUGUAAUAAUGAAAAAAAAUAGACUUAUUUUAAUAUAUGUUUUGGCUGUCCUCCAUGUUUUCCAACUGUUUGGCCUUUCGAUACAAACUUUGUUGCUGCUGUCAAAGCUAUACUUCUGUCCAAAGAUGUUGAUGCCUCAGAUAACAUCUCGAAGCAGAAUCUGGUUUGGUGCCUCCAAAGGCUUAACCCUCCGAACAUGCCAAAUCCUACAAGUAUACUGUCCAAUACAACUCAUCAAUUGCAUAAUUUGGUUUGGUUUAACAUUGAAUAAACCAUCACUAACAGGGACCAAAUGUAAAAUUAGCAUCCUGCUCUGGUUUCCAACCUAUGACAAGAACCAUGCUUGAAGAACUGAGACUGAGGGAACCUCCAAGUCUCUAAGUCCUAGCUAGCUCCAGUUGAUCAGUGCUAGACCGGCAUAUGGGCUGGAUCAGAAAACACAAGCUCAAUGAUGUUACGACCAUCUGACCCCAGGGUGACAGGUUUAGAGAAUUUGCCUCAGGCCAAAGUCAAAUAUGUUUAUGUUGUUCAUUUUAUGUUGUUCAUUGAUUUCAUUUUAACAAAUGCGUUUCAUUCAGGGUCACUUCAACAAAGAUCGCUCUCAUUGGGACUCCCCCACUAACUGCAGGAAAUUGUGUUUAAGCAACAAAUAGGCAUAAAUUCCUAAAAUGUUGGAGUGUUCAAUUCAUCACACUGCCUUAUUGUUGGUUAGUGCUGCUUCACCCCAAAAAUGUUUGCAGCUGUUUUUAAAGCAAUCAUCAUUACUUAAUGAUGUUACCAUUGUUGCUAAAUCUAUUUUGUGUGGAAGUUUACUGCUCCCAAACUGUGUUUGAAUAACAAAAUCUGUGCAAUAAAUGUCAAUUAUGUUCUGUC